rnacentral:lncRNA from 1 species
CUUUGUUUAGAAAUUUUUUCUGGGAUGAAAGUUUAGGUAGGCAGCCUUGAAAAGUAGUACACUGGAAAGCCAAAAGGUGGCAUCACCUGCUAGAGUGAGUUUUUAGUUCAUUCAUUCGCAU